AUGGAGAUGACUCUAUUGUCCAUCACAGUGUGGUUCACUCAGUUCCUCAUCGUCUCAGCUCUUUAUUUCAACACACCGCCAACAAACACCCCAAGUGACUACACUGAAACCACACAAAUAACUUCAGCAACAACAAAAACAAACCCAGAAAUAAAAAUCCUUAUAUACGCAACAUCUUCGUCACCUCUGACCGCAUCAACAACGCAGAAAAGCAUAACAAAUUUGCCCAGUGAAGUGCAUACACAGACAAAUAUAACCCCAAAUGUGACACCCACACCGGAAACAGCAUCCCUGCAUCCACUGAACAGCAGUACUCCUUCUCAAAAUGUUAUGAUGGAUGAUGGCGAGAGCGUAAGCAGUGCUAGUAAUGUGGCUAUGAGCGAUGCGAAUAAUAGUCAUACAACAGUUUCCACUAACUUUGCAGGACUAACGCCACAAAAGGAUGACAGUAAUGAAACAGGUACACCGUCAAGUGUGAGUUACAACUCUGACGGGCGCACCGUUCAGACUCCAGACACUUUAUCAGACCCAGUCGACAGUGUCUCAACAGUUCCUUGGAGGUAUUCCACAGAGAAAGAGGAUGAGAGAACGAAAGCCGAUGAAGGAAAUUACGAAACAAACUCCACCCAGGCCACAUUUGCUAAUAUGAAAGAGGAGUCGAGAGGAACACGAGGCACUGAGGGAAGUUCCACAUUCUCAAGUGAACACAGAGAGGAACAUUACGACACAGCAGCGAAUACGAUCAAUGUCAGUGAUACAACAGCAACAGUGAGUAACAAAUGGUCAACGUCACAAAGCACAGAUAUUCCCAUGACCACACCGUCUUACACAACAGCACAGGGUUACCCCACGUUUACAGAUGCACCUGAAUAUCACACCUCAACAGGUGGCGUAAAUCACUCUACGACACAGGAGAAUAUAUACAGGUUCACAAACUCCACAGCAACCACAAGAAGAGAAAACAGGACAGGAACAGACACACCCGGUGGUACCACCGCCAACAUCAACAUCUCUAUCAUAACUGACAACAGCCUAAAUGCCACAAACAACAGAUCAAACAAAAAUGACACAGAAAACAAAGUGAGGCCUUCAUGUCUGAACCCAAAACCAGGAAAUCAUUCUCGGCCAUCCAAGCUGGUCUGUUUCCUCACAUUGUGGACUUUAGCAAUGACCGCCACCAUAUUUCUAGGAAUAACUAUUUUCCUUUGGGUGCGUCUGUCAGUCUCCAAAAAAAAGAUGAAGCGGAGAGUAAAACGAGGUCAGACGUGUGAGAAGGAGAGCCUCUGGGCCGAGCCCAAAGCAUCGGUGCAGGACAGAGUGGAGUUCUGGUACGUCAAUGGAUCCACGCUGGAGGCCGACAGGAAGGAGAAGGACAGGAGGAGGAUGAAGAGGAGAGGACGGGAACAGGAUAAUGAGGAGAACAGCCUGUGGAUUCAGCCUAGAGUGACUGUGGAAGACAUAACAGAGUUCUGGUACGCAAACAGACACAUGAAGGAGGAGAGGACAGAGGACACGUAG
rnacentral:lncRNA from 1 species